rnacentral:rRNA from 1 species
AUGGAUGUCAACCCUGUGGUGACUUGCUGGAACGUUCACGGUUUGAACAAUCCGGCAGAGAGGAAAGCGGUGAGAGAGUUCUUGGCUUCGGUGAAGCCUAACCUAGUGUGUUUGCAGGAAACAAAAUUGGAGGUUGUAGACCAUUUUCUCUUAUUGCAAUGUUGUGGCCCGUCGUUGGACGGUUUUGCUUACUUGUCGGCUGAUGACACGAGAGGAGGGAUUCUACUUGCAUGG